rnacentral:rRNA from 1 species
AUUGAACGCUGGCGGCAGGCCUAACACAUGCAAGUCGAGCGAGCGGCGGACGGGUGAGUAAUGUAUGGGGACUGCCCGAUAGAGGGGGAUAACUACUGGAAACGGUAGCUAAUACCGCAUACUAUCGGAUAACCCAUAUGGGAUUAGCUAGUAGGUGAGGUAAUGGCUCACCUAGGCGACGAGCCCUUGCUGGUCUGAGAGGAUGAUCAGCCCCACUGGGAUUGAGCCACGGCCCAGACCCGUACGGAGGCAGCAGUGGGGAAUAUUGCACAAUGGGCGCAGGCCUGAUGGAGCCAUGCCGCGUGUAUGAAAAAGGCCCUAGGGUUGUAAAGUACUUUCAGUCGGGAGGCGUUACCGACAGAAGAAGCACCGGCUAACUCCGUGCCAGCCGCCGCGGUAAUUC